rnacentral:rRNA from 1 species
AUUGAACGCUGGCGGCAGGCCUAACACAUGCCAGUCGAACGGUAACAGGAAGAAGCUUGCUUCUUUGCUGACGAGUGGCGGACGGGUGAGUAAUGUCUGGGAAACUGCCUGAUGGAGGGGGAUAACUACUGGAAACGGUAGCUAAUACCGCAUAACGUCGCAAGACCAAAGAGGGGGACCUUCGGGCCUCUUGCCAUCGGAUGUGCCCAGAUGGGAUUAGCUAGUAGGUGGGGUAACGGCUCACCUAGGCGACGAUCCCUAGCUGGUCUGAGAGGAUGACCAGCCACACUGGAACUGAGACACGGUCCAGACUCCUACGGGAGGCAGCAGUGGGGAAUAUUGCACAAUGGGCGCAAGCCUGAUGCAGCCAUGCCGCGUGUAUGAAGAAGGCCUUCGGGUUGUAAAGUACUUUCAGCGGGGAGGAAGGGAGUAAAGUUAAUACCUUUGCUCAUUGACGCUACCCGCAGAAGAAGCACCGGCUAACUCCGU